rnacentral:rRNA from 1 species
ACGGAGGGUGCAAGCGUUACUCGGAAUUACUGGGCGUAAAGGGUACGUAGGCGGUAGUGCAAGUCAGGGGUGAAAUCCCACGGCUCAACUGCGGAAUUGUCUUUGAUACUGCUCAGCUUGAGUGCGGGAGAGGGGAGUGGAAUUCCCGGUGUAGCAGUGAAAUCCGUAGAUAUCGGGAGGAACAUCAGAGGCGAAGGCGGCCACCUGGACUAGUACUGACGCUGAGUUACGAAAGCGAGGGGAGCAAACCG